rnacentral:miRNA from 2 species
UUGUGUAGAGGUAAGAAAUAUGC